UGAAUCUUACUUCUCUAAAACACUAUCCGAUGGAUUUAAGUUUUCUCUUCUUGUCCUGUUGUUGGUGGAGAUGAGUGCGUUGGCUUGGAUUUGCAUGUUUUAUUCAUUUAUCCUUUUGAUGGUAUAGAGAAUGAACUACUGGUACAAAGUAUAAUUUAAAUGUAUAAAUAUAAGUAGCUACUUAGUAGUAUGUACUAAUGUGAUUAAUUACAUUCCUAAUUAACCUUAGUUCUCUUUUAUAUGCUGAAAUUCCUAAAAUCAACAUUAUUUUGGUAAUGCUCAUGGCCAUAGCAAAGUAGCAAACAAGAGUUAUUGUUUACAUUCCUUAGCAUUUCUUGUGUUUCUUACUUUUGAAUCUGAUUUUAUGCAUUUAGUUCUGUAUAUUCUAAAUCACUUCAGAAGAAGAAGUUCCACCAUUUAGAUCACUAUGGUAGCAUCCAUUCUUCAAACAUGUAAUUUUUUAUAUACUCAACUUUUUUAAGAGCCUAAUCUUUGUGAAUAUUUCUUUUUAUAUGAGUGUUAUUUUGUGAUCAUAAUAAUGUUAGUCAGUGUAGUUCAAACUAUUUCCAUGAGAGAAAUUUUAGUUCGAUGUAUGAGGAAGAAGGAAGCUCCAAGAAUGGUAAGAAGCAUUUUAUGUGUUUACAGGGCAGAUUGAUCAAUAAAAAUGAGGUGGCAGUAAAAAAACUUCUUAAAAAAUAGAACAAGAAGAGAGAAUUCAUAAUUGAAGUGGAGGCUAUAGGUCAUGUUAGAGAUAAAUAUCUUGUGUGCCUGUUUGGAGGGAGUUAAACAGAGUAAUGGAUGCAUGUUGCCAUGGAACAAGGAACACUUACCUGGGAGGUUCGCAUGCUCGAUAGUUACCUGGC